GAUGAACGCUGGCGGAGUGCCUAACACAUGCAAGUUGAGCGGCAGCGCGAGUAGUUUACUACUUGGCGGCGAGCGGCGGACGGCUGAGUAACGCGUGGGAACAUGCCCCAAAGUGAGGAAUAACUGCCCGAAAGGGUAGCUAAUGCCGCAUACGAUCUUCGGAUUAAAGGAUUUAUCCGCUUUGGGAGUGGCCUGCGUACGAUUAGAUAGUUGGUGAGGUAAUGGCUCACCAAGUCUACGAUCGUUAACUGGUUUGAGAGGAUGAUCAGUCAGACUGGAACUGAGACACGGUCCAGACUCCUACGGGAGGCAGCAGUGAGGAAUCUUCCACAAUGGACGAAAGUCUGAUGGAGCAACUCCGCGUGCAGGAUGAAAGGCCUUCGGGUCGUAAACUGCUUUAUGAGUGAAGAAUAUGACGGUAACUCAUG
rnacentral:rRNA from 1 species